CCCCGGCACAUUAUUUAUGUAUGUGCCUGUCCCAAGUCAGGAACCUGUAAUUCAGUGGUUGUCGUUUGUUUAUGUGUAACAUAUUUGUUUUUCGUUCAUUUUUUUUUACAUAAAUAAGGCCGUUAGUUUUCUCGUUUUAAUUGUUUUACAUUGUCUUAUCGGGGCCUUUUAUAGCUGACUUUGCGGUAUGGGCUUUGCUCAUUGUUGAAGGCCGUACGGUGAUCUAUAGUUGUUAAUGUCUGUGUCAUUUUGGUCUUUUGUGGAUAGUUGUCUCAUUGGCAAUCAUACCACAUCUUCUUUUUUAUAUAGUAUGUUCAUGUAU
rnacentral:lncRNA from 1 species